CCCCUGAUGGUCUAGUUGGAUAUGGCGUCCGGCUGCAAUGGAUUACCUUGUAACCGGAAGGUCGCCGGCUAUUCCGGCUCGGAGGA